rnacentral:rRNA from 1 species
AGCUGGCGUCUUCGGCGUCCGCAUUGUAAUCUCAAGAAGUGUUUUCCGCUUCGGACCAUGCCUAAGUCCCUUGGAAAAGGGCAUCAUAGAGGGUGAUAAUCCCGUACAUGGCAUGGAGCGCCCGAAGCUUUGUGAUACGCUUUCUAAGAGUCGAGUUGUUUGGGAAUGCAGCUCAAAAUGGGUGGUAAAUGCCAUCUAAGGCUAAAUAUUGGGGAGAGACCGAUAGCGAACAAGUACAGUGAUGGAAAGAUGAAAAGAACUUUGAAAAGAGAGUUAAACAGUACGUGAAAUUGCCAAAAGGGAAGGGUAGGAGGUCAGAGAUGCGGCCUAGGAUUCAGCCUUGCUUUUGCUUGGUGUUUUUCCUAGGUUGCAGGCCAACGUCGGUUUUGGGCACUGGAGAAGGGUGGAAGGAAUGUGGCACCUCUCGGGGUGUGUUAUAGCCUUCUACUGGAUACAGCGACCGAGACCGAGGACAGCAGCGUACUCGCAAGAGCGGGCCUUCGGGCACCUUUACGCUUAGGGCGUUGGCAUAAUGGCCCUCUAC